rnacentral:rRNA from 1 species
CCUACGGGAGGCAGCAGUGAGGAAUAUUGGUCAAUGGGUGUAAGCCUGAACCAGCCAAGUCGCGUGAGGGAUGAAGGUUCUAUGGAUCGUAAACCUCUUUUAUAAGGGAAUAAAGUGCGGGACGUGUCCCGUUUUGUAUGUACCUUAUGAAUAAGGAUCGGCUAACUCCGUGCCAGCAGCCGCGGUAAUACGGAGGAUCCGAGCGUUAUCCGGAUUUAUUGGGUUUAAAGGGUGCGUAGGCGCCCUUUUAAGUCAGCGGUGAGAGUCUGUGGCUCAACCAUAGAAUUGCCGUUGAAACUGGGAGGCUUGAGUAUGUUUGAGGCAGGCGGAAUGCGUGGUGUAGCGGUGCAAUGCUUAGAUAUCACGCAGAACCCCGAUUGCGAAGGCAGCCUUCCGGCGCCCUCCUGACGCUGAGGCACGAAAGUGCGGGGAUCGAACAGGAUUAGCUACCCGGGUAGUC